rnacentral:rRNA from 1 species
AUUUGACCUCAAAUCAGGUACGAAUGGCACAAGCUAAU